rnacentral:rRNA from 1 species
AGGCGACCGCUGUUGGAGUUCGAUUAAGCCAUGCGAGUAGAAUGAAAUUAGAUUCAUUGCAAACUGCUCAGUAACACGUGGAUAACCUGCCCUAUGCUCUGGGAUAACCUCGGGAAACUGAGAAUAAUACCGGAUAGAUCACAACGCCUGGAACGGUGUGUGGUUGAAAGGUUACGGCAUAGGAUGGGUCUGCGGCGUAUCAGGUCGUAGGGGGUGUAAUGGACCCCCUAGCCAUCGACGCGUACGGGUGUUGGGAGACAUAGCCCGGAGACGGAUUCUGAGACACGAAUCCGGACCCUACGGGGUGCAGCAGGCGCGAAAACUUCACACUGCAGGAAACUGUGAUGAGGGAACUCCAAGUGGAUGCACAUAGUGUAUCUCUUUUCUUUACUAUUAAUCGGUAUUGGAAUAAGGGCUGGGAAAGACCGGUGCCAGCCGCCGCGGUAAUACCGGCAGCUCGAGUGGUCGUCGCUUUUAUUGGGCCUAAAACGUCCGUAGCCGGUUUGGUAAAUCUGUGGGUAAAUCAACUAGCUUAACUAGUUGAAUUCUGCAGAGACUGCCAGACUAGGAACCGGGAGAGGUGUGGGGUACUCAAGGGGUAGGGGUAAAAUCCUGUCAUCCUUUGAGGACCACCAGUUGCGAAGGCGCCACACUGGAACGGAUUCGACGGUCAGGGACGAAGCCUAGGGGCACGAACCGGAUUAGAUACCCGGGUAGUCCUAGGUGUAAACGCUGUGAACUUGGUGUCGGGAGUCCGCAAUGGGCCCCCGGUGCCGGAGUGAAGAUGUUAAGUUCACUGCCUGGGGAGUACGGUCGCAAGGCUGAAACUUAAAGGAAUUGGCGGGGGAGCACUGCAACGCGAGGAGCGUGCGGUUU